CGGCCAAACAUUAAACAUUUUAUAAUAAUAAUAAUAAUAAUAAUGCAUUUUAUUUAUGGGCGCCUUUCUGAACACUCAAGGUCACCUUACAAAAUCAACAAUAAAACAUUCAAUCUAUUAAACAA